CAUUCCCCUCCCUCAUCUCUUUUCACAUGUUCCUGGCCAGUCUCUCCUCCUCCCUCUCUUUGCCUUUCUCUAUCUUUAUGCCAUCCUCAGCUCCCCUUCUCAUGUCCUAAAUAAAGUCUAUUCUGCACUAUAUGUACUGUAUAACUGGUCCCUCAGGGGGAUGCCUCAGCAUGGGCCCACAGAGAUACCCCCUUCCACCUCACCAAACCGUGCCUCUAUCAAACAUAUCCUGGCUCUUUCUUUCCUUUCUAUAAAACACAACACUCUAAUAUACAAUUCUCUACCCCCUCAUUAGUGUCAUUUGCAAACAUUUUAAUUUAGGAUCUUAUGGAAAUAUUCCACAUAACUUCAGGAAAAUGACACUUGAGUCGCAAGCUUUCUGGAGGGUUGUAAAAGUGUUAGAAGAAGGGAAGAUAUAAGACUGUACAAAGAGAGUACAUGGAUACUAUGGAUAUUUAUUGUCAUUUAUCAUGGCUAAGAAUCUAGAAGCAGAAUCGCUAGGUUAUGUUCAUAAUUUUACCUCCAAGAGCAGCUGUCAAUAUGCUUUCCAACAUGACUCGGCCACACUUUGUCCCUGUGAGCAGGACAUGGCAGUUCCAUUUGUGUUGCAAAAUAGCCAACUUGAGUGAUCAGAUGUACAUUUUAGACACUCUAUAGAAGUACAGUAGAAUUACAUUGUAAAUUUUAACUCUCAUUUCUAUGAUGACAAAUGCUUUUGAGCAUGUUCCUUUACACAUUUGCAAGACACUAAACUCAAAAUGUAGUCAUGGAGUUAUCUGUAAAAUUCUCAGAAUGACAAUGAUAGCACCAUCACUAUUUCAUGUUAGUAUAAAUGUCUGAAAUUUCUACUGCCUAUAGAAUGGGUAGUAUACACACAGUUUCUAACAUUCAAUAGUUUCAGUAAACACUGGCCCAACUAUGUCCUAAUGAAAUGCUUCAAAGAAACAGUCACCAUAAUUAAGGGUCAGAAAUGUUUCCCAGGAGGUGAUGUAUGUAAUUUAACUGGAAUAUUUGAUGGUGAACCUCCUAGGGGGAAAAUAGUUUCUAAUGGUUAUUUUUAAUUAAUAAAGUGUCAAGAUAAUGAUAGAAUCUCUGAAAUUGGAAAACAGAAAAAGAUUACUGUGCAAAGCAGCUCUGUAUAAAUACAGGGCACGAUCUCUCCAGGACUUAGCUUCAUCAGCUACAAAACAGGACAAUUAAUGACUCUGAAUCCUCUUUUAACUCUGGCUCGUGUUCAGUAUUUUGAAUUGCUCUGUGACUACUAGGUGGCUUUUUUUUUCAUGUGAUUAGAUUAAUUAGAUGUAAUAGUACAAUUUUGGAGGAAAAAGAAUAUCCCUGUCAGGACUGACAAGUUCUCUUCCUGCAGUUUUUUUCUCUAAGAUAAUUAAGUGAAUUGAACCUCUUGAUGUCCUAGCUGUGAGAGUUAAAUAUGCAUGAAUUCUUCCUUUCCCAUAAUUUUAUUGUGAACAUUUUUAAAUACACAGGAACAUUGAAAUAAUGUUGCAAUGAAUACUCAAAAGCCCAGACACCUGGAUUGUGCAAUUAACCUUUUGCUCUAUUUAAUUUGUUAAAUAUAUACCAUCCAUAUGUUUAAAGUAAAUUUUAAAAAAAAGCAUAUUCAAACUAAACGACUAACCUCAGUACACAUCUCUCUGCUCCUUGCACUUUAAGAUGGACUUUGGAUAUGUUGAUGCACUGUAGCAUAUAUGUAUUCUUUCCUAGAAAUAAGAGAUGGCUAGUGUUGUUCUUAGAAUGAAUAUUUUCAUAUUACAUCCUUUAGGACAGUGGUUCUCAAUUAGGGACAAUUUUUUUCCCCUCAUCUGACUCAGGGGUCCAUUUGGCAGUGUCUGGGAUAGCUUUGGUUAUCAUGACUUGAGUAUGCCAGUGGGAUACUCUUAAGUCUUAGGAUGCACAGGAGACCCCUCACAACAAGGAAUUAUCCAUCUCCAAAUAUUAUUAGUGAGACAGUGCCCAAUAUUGUUUUAAGAAAUGGUAGACCAAGGCCAGAGAAAUGGCCCAGCAGGUAAAGGUGCUUGCCAUAAAGCCUGACAACCUGAGUUUGUUCCUUGGGACCUACAUGGUGGAAGGAGAAAAUGACUCCUGCAAAUUGUCCUCUGACCUCUACAUGUGUGCUGUGGCGUGUGUGUACUGUGGCAGGUGCAUGCACCACCCUCCCAAUAUAAUAAAUAUAUACAAGGAAAUCAAAACCUUCAAAAGAUUUGGUGGAUUCAUCUCUAGUGCUAUUCAGAAACAGUGUGUAAAACUGUUUUGCCAUACUCCAGGGAUGUCAAAAUGGCUAAGAAGAAGCAAAGGCUUGAAGACUGUUGUUUCUUUUAACUUUCUAGUUCUGUCUGUGCAAUUAUUUUACUAAGGUACCCUGUGCUCAUCAUUUAUUUUUUCCCCACUCUUCAUUUUUUUCAUUUAGAUCUGAAAUAUUUGUAUAUGAAAUCUUCACACAGUCCUAUCUUUUUCAGGGUGACAACUCUUAUGACCCCCUCCCCCCACACCACCACCAAAGAGUGAAUGAAUUCAUUGCUGUGUGUAUACAGCUAAUUUGUAGAGCAUUUACCUAGCAUGUGAGAGGUCUUAGGUUUGAUUUCCCAGAACGACCAAACAAACAAAUAAACAAACAAAAAGGAAGAACAAUUCAUCUCAGGAGUGAGCAAGGGAGGGCAGGCUAAAGAGGAACAAGUAUCUGAAAGAAGCCUGUAGGUUCUUUUUUUUUUUUUGUCUAGCUUUUACUUUUGUUUCCUUCAGCUCAGUCAUUCUCAGUUUAGCUCAUACAAGCAAGGGCUUCCUCUGAAUGCGUUGUCUGUAUCUCUGUGAUAGGCACAGGCCUGGGAGGAAAAACAAGGGAAGCCAAGUGUUGAAAGACAACGUCAGUAUAAAAGCCAACCCACAACAACUGUUGCUAGUUGUCAAUGUACACUUGCUUCCAUAUAUGUUAGAUGUUUCAUGUUCAGGUACCCCUUAGGAGGCCCAUCAUUAGCUGUAUACCACAAUGACUAGCAUGGAGAUAAAUAGUGCAAGUCUUUGAAGUUUCCCAAGAUACUUGCCACGAAUCAUCGUGAAUCUGGGUUAAUGACAGAAGCGGAAAGUAAAUCCUCAAACUCGGAGGAAAGGUUCUAACAGCUUAUUUAUUCAUAAACAGCAAUAACCAAGUAAAUGGCAAAAUGGGACCGCACUCAUUCACACACACACACACACACACACACACACACACGCACGCACGCACGCACGCACGCACGCACGCACGCACGCACGCACGCACGCACGCACGCACGCACACGCGCGCGCUUCCCUAACCUUCCUGUCCCUCUGGUCUUAGCAUGGCUCCGUGCGGGGUGAGCAUCAGGUGGUUACAAAAAAGUGUGGCCUAGAUUAAAAGUGGAUCUUCCCACCUCAGAAUAUCUGGAUUGCAGGUGUGGGAUAUGAGGCUGCUUCAGAUUGUCCACAUCCUCUACUAUUAUUGUCCUGUGCUCUAGUAGGGGCCAGACUUUUGCCAGCUGCAGAUAGCUUAUGUCUGGAAUUCUGGGGGCUUUUGACAGCCCCAAGAGAGCCUGUGUUAGUUGUCGCUCCCCAUGCUGCUGUUUAUCCCUGCUGCUGCUGGAUUGCUGAUUUUGGUAUUGCUGGAUGGCUGGUUGGAGAUAUCCUGACAACGGAUAUUGGACUUGCCCAAAGGAACCCAAUGUCCCUACUGAGCAGGGAGUAGUCUAAAUAAGUCUAUGCACCCUUUCCCCUCUAACCUUCUUUCUCUCCUACCUAGUGCUGUGGGGUUGGAAGGGAUUGGGGUGGAAUAAGGGUGGGAAGGGUGGUAGAUAACAGAACCAAUAAAAUAACCCAAAAGGUACAUCAAUAAACUCUUAAUUGAGAAUUGCUGGGCAAAGGAAAUAGCCAAUGUCAAUUAUAAAAAUUUUAAAAUGUGCAUUCCUAGCUAGUUGUGGUAGUACAUGCCUGUAAUUGCAGCACUGGUGAGUGGAAUCAGGAAUUUUAGGAAUAAGAUUCCUUGGAGAUGGGCAAGGAGGUAUCUUAGUUAGGGUUAAUUUCUGCGAACAGACACCAUGACCACAGCA